UCACGUAUCCACGUAUCAACCAUUGCGAACUGUCUGACCUUUGAGAAGUUUUGUAUGUGAAUAAGGGGAAAGCUUGGCUUCACGGCUUUGCUGACUUCUGCUUCUCAGAGUGUAUUUAUUCACAUCAUUAUUAACAACUUUAACCAAAUUCUUAAACUAUUGAACUGAUUUAUUUCUUACGCUUCGGCGAAGAAAUCAUUACGAAACAUAAGAA
rnacentral:misc_RNA from 1 species